GGCCGAAAGAGUUUGAAAUAUUAAGCAAAUGUGACUGGCUGUACUGGAGAGGUGAACGCCAUGCUGUAUGAUCCUGGAGCUCUAAGUAGUGAGCAAGUCUAAUGACUUCUCUCCCUCCUGUUAAAAAUGAGUGCAAGUAGCCGCUGGGCGACAGUGGCACACGCCUUUAAUCCCAGAGGCAGGCGGGUCUCUUGAGUUCGAGGCUAGAGAAACAAAACAAAUACAUUUAAAAUGUGACUAGAAAAGACGGGUAACUCGAGACCCAACUGAAACAAAGGCACUAAGUGUGAGGAAGACUACUCAGUGGAAAACUUCAAGGUGCGCGGUGAGAGCUGUAAGGUUGAUUUUACCUAAAGGACUCACUGGGAAGCAAACUUCCACUGAGGAAGUGCCAUGGUGGGGUGUGUACAUCAGGAUGAUAGCAAUCCCACAAUACUGAUGGAGGCAAAAGAAG
rnacentral:lncRNA from 1 species